UCCCUGUUGCUAUGGCAAAUAUAGGAAUCUUGCAAACUCCUUUUUUAUUCCAAUAACAAUUUGAACGAACCAUGGUUUAGGAUUGAAAGAGUUGACUGGCCCAAGGUCACUCAGAUGGUUUUGUGCAUGGAGUGGCGUGGGGGAGUGACAUCAUGGUCUCCUGCUUUCUAAUCUGGACCUUAACCACUAGACCAAACUGGCUGUCUAAAAUUACUCCUUCUUGAGCUGUGACAGUUCUGGAGAGAUGUCCCUAAGGUUAAUCUCUAACUCUUAAAAAGGUGUUAGAAGAACUGAGAAAUGAGAUGAAAUAAGAAGCAAUCUUCUGCUUAUGAAGGAACCUCUUCAUUUUUCUUCACAACCACUCCCUUGGGAUCCAAUCAAAAGCUGAUUUGAAAUGAAGGCUACAAAAACAAAAUGUCUGGGUGAAGAGGAAUAUUAUUUGGCUGAAUGGGGAUGAACCAAUCAUAAAUCCAGAAUUUCUUAGUCUC